AACCAAAUAUUUUGUUCGUGUUCUUGCAAGUACUAAAGUUGGUCGAGGAAACUACAGUAAAAGUCAGGGAAUAUUUACAAAUGGAGAACGAACAGGGAUGGCCACAAAUAAAACAGUAACUACAUUAACAUUCCCAUUACAAAGCCCUUCGGAAAAUUUUGCGUAUUUUUACGUUGUGGCUUUAAGAAUAGAAGACAAUGACAAACUUUCAUCACCCAGCAGUUACGAUAACAAUGAUCUAGUGACAUAUAAAGAAGCUAAAACGUCAGCUGAACCAAAACCUUAUAUUGCUG